AACCGUCAGUAUGAGAACAGAAAUUA
rnacentral:piRNA from 1 species